rnacentral:rRNA from 1 species
AACGAACGCUGGCGGCAGGCUUAACACAUGCAAGUCGAACGCAUCCUUCGGGGUGAGUGGCAGACGGGUGAGUAACGCGUGGGAACGUGCCCUUCGGUUCGGGAUAACCCAGGGAAACUUGGGCUAAUACCGGAUACGUGCGAGAGCAGAAAGAUUUAUCGCUGAAGGAUCGGCCCGCGUCUGAUUAGCUAGUUGGUGGGGUAAUGGCCCACCAAGGCGACGAUCAGUAGCUGGUCUGAGAGGAUGAUCAGCCACAUUGGGACUGAGACACGGCCCAAACUCCUACGGGAGGCAGCAGUGGGGAAUAUUGGACAAUGUGCGCAAGCCUGAUCCAGCCAUGCCGCGUGAGUGAUGAAGGCCUUAGGGUUGUAAAGCUCUUUCGUCCGGGACGAUAGUGACGGUACCGGAAGAAGAAGCCCCGGCUAACUUCGUGCCAGCCGCCGCAGUAA